AAAAGCCACCAGCGCCUCGCACGAGCACGACCCUGCCCCUCGAUCCCAUCUACACCUCCUUCCCGCCGCCACCUCCUGCCCCGCGCCGCCCGCCCCACACCGCCUCGAUCGGGACCGCGUCCCUCCCCAAACGACGGCAAUGAUGGAGGGCGCCGCCCAGCUCCUGGCCGACGGAUUCGCUGGCUCCCCGCACCUCGGGGCCAGCCCCUCCCCCGUGCCGAGUCGAGCAUCGACUUGGAGGCCCCUUGGGGCUGCCGCCGGUGCGGGAGUCCCACGCGGCCGUGCGGGCUGGGGACCGAUUGGCGGGGCCCGUGGUGCGACGCUCGAUGGAUGGCCUGCACAGCGCGGACGACUGCUUCUCUCCCAGGAGGGCCAUAGGCAGCCACUACAUGUCGGAGCUGUUGCAGGAGCACCAGAAGCUUGUCCUGUUCACACAGGUGCUACCAAUCUGCAUCAAACUGUUGGGCCACCGUGAGAGCCUCGAUUCGCUCCCUCGCCGCCGCCCGGUCUACCAUUAUUGGCCUAGGUCUGAUUGCUUAUGUUUCUCUCUUGUUGAUGCAAACUUGCUCUGCUUGACUCUGUUUUGGCCUCAAGGCAUCUCACUUGUCAUGACUCUGUUUUGGCCUCAAGGCAUCUCACUUGUCACAUAUUGUUAUCAACUCAGGUAUGGUAUCUGGAAAUUUUUUAUUCUACCAAGAGAACAUUUCUUACUUUGGUUUCUAGGCAAUAUGAAAGUAAUGAGUAAACAUAACCCGCUGAAACAAAAACAUGGUGAAGUAGCUGACUGUAGAUUUUGCUUGGAGAUGAUACUGUUCACUGUCCAUAUUUUGUUUGUAUGGUGGCUGUACUUUGUAACGCUAGCAUGGAUGUCUGUUAUAAAAUAUACAGUAUCUAGAUUUUUGCUGGGUAAAGAAAUUUGCAGCUCUGAAUACUUUAUAUUUCCCAGUUGUUCUUAAUUUCGGCAGUAUGCAUGGGAACGCUGGGAUGACGUGUUUCAGAGAAUUCAGUGGCUUGGUUCAACUAUACAAGGAUCAUUUCAACGCAAAGGACUCUCGUGUUACAGCCUAUUGACCACUGCAGUGUGUACUCCUGGAAUUGAUAGCGAAUGAAAGCGCCAUAGACAUUGCAGGAGAGAUAAAAUUUCUAGAUGUUAUUAGGUCUCACCAAUUUGUACUGCUGUUCACUCUGUAGUCUGGGAUUAAUUAGCUGUGCUGCAAGGAUUCCAACUUUAAAAGUCAUGCUGCAAGGACAAGUCCUCUGUAUGAUUCUUCAGUACAGUUCAAAAUAAAUCACGAUGCAGAGCAGAUUCAGUCUUUUGAUUUUAGACAAUGAAGAGUUUCAUUGCUCUUAAGGUCUUUGUUUGCCUUUUUAGGGGAGGUCUUUGUUUGCUUGGAUUGAUGCGCACGGUUGACACAAUUUACAACAUUUUUUGACUGACGGCAUAGACCAUAGUUUCAGUUUUACAAUGUGUCCAGAGAGAGUAUAAUACUGAUGCACUAUUUAUUUCAGAGAAGAAAAAGGUUCCAUGAGGGUGUCUAUUACAGAACUGGAGAAAGAGCUCGCCUACCAUGCAUGUUGCCUGGUCCGAUGAGCAGUGCUACGCCAAGUGCCCUGUCAGAGUGCAGCCGCACAACGCUGCCUGCUGUUGAGGACCCCGGAGCCUAGACAGUUAGCUCGGCAACUUCCAGCCCCCCACCGUCUUUCUUGACAGCCACGACACCCAUCUUUUCGUCUAUGCCUCAUUGGAUGCACUUCCAUUGUAUGUAAUGUUAGAUAUACACAAUCAUAGAUACAUAUAUGAUCUUCCACCUCGGCUCCUAUACUGAUAAGAUUUGUGUUGAUACAUGAUUCUCAACAAAGUGUGCUACCAAACUUUUUCACGAAAAGUGUAGUACCAGUUGGUGUGAUAUCAUGUCCUCAGCAACGCCCCCGAUGGAUCGACCAUGACCAUGUUGUUGCCUGGAAUCUUUUUUCAUGAUGAUGUCGCUAUUCGUCAUCCCACAGUUUAUGCGGUGGAGCGUCAACGACCUCAGCGUGUUGCAGGAGAAGACCAUGAAUAUCGGCAAGAAAGAUGUUGAUCAAGGAAGGUGCAACACUGUGAUGUGAGUUGAACACAAGCAUGGCCUACAAUCUCGACGCCCACCAUCCAUGUGCCUUGCAAGCAGCAAUUGUUCACACCCUUGAUAUUUGUCACUGCCCUCUUCUCAUCUAUCCCGACAGUCUCGGUGUCCAGGCAAGGUAUGUCUAUGUCAGUUGAACUGUCACUCGAGUUACAACAAUUCCAAUCUUUUUUCUAUAUCUGCAAUUGGGUGGACUAUGGUAUGAAUCAGUUUAUAAGCAACCAUGGUGUACAUGAAUCUCUGUUGGUGUGAACUGUCAAAAGCAUUUCCUACUAUUUCUACCUCUGUUUCAUCUUCUAAAUCUAGAGUCUAGACUUGGAUAUUAUCUAGCAACAAUCUGUUCAUGAGAAAAGCAUGGCUAAGAGUCAUACUAGAUGUAUGCAUAAUACCGGGACAAGAUAUUUACCUGCCAUUAUCCCAGAAGGGAAACAUAAUACUAAACUGCCAUAAAAACAUUUGAGGGCUUACAUCAUCGUUGAGGUCAAAUUUGUAUCUUUAUUAUCACCCUAAUAAAACAUGGUUUUGCUAAUUGACUUCAUCUUAUUUCAACUUUGUUAGUUCAGUUCACGUGCUCUGUUAGAGACCAACCCCAAUGUGUAUGCUACAACCACUGAAAGAAGUAUGUUGCCUUGAUGUUUUUAAUUCAGUUAAUUUGUAUUAAUUGUGUGGCAUCAUCAUGCAAGGUAAAUGCAGAGCUAUACUUUCUAUUCUCGUGCCUUCUAUUAAAAUCAUGCAGAAGCUCCGGUCAUCGUUGUUCAUAUGUUUUGACUCUUAUCGAGCCUCUUCUGUGAGGCACAUAGUUUGGGAGUAUGCCUAUGGCAAUUUAUCUAUUUCCAUGAUUGAAGAGACAUUUUUAAAUUGAACAAAACAAAUUAUAUGAGAGGCAUAUGUUUUGUUUUUGCUGUCCCAAACUACAGAGAGCCUUGCAAAUUUCCAGGACUCUGUUUCCUCUUGGAACUCUCCUAACUAUGCAUUCUUGAUCACUGUCGAACAUUGAUCGACAGACUGCUCUGUUUACAAACUCUAUUUUUUCUAGGUUUUCUUGUGAAAAUUGAUGAUACCCCAAUGCAGAGCCUUUUGUAGCCUUGUUGUUGGUGACAGAUUUCAGACGAUAACCUAAAUGUAGGCAUUAAACACAACAAGGUCAGGAUAUGAUAAUGGCCCAAGGUCGUGCCGACAAAUCUGGAAAUACUCUAGAACAAAAUAAUAAUCUGGCAAUGGCCCAAGAGAGCUGUUAGUUCUUGGAUUUUUGUACCCUCAUGCUAAUACUUAACUGUUACUCCCUCCGUAAACUAAUAUAAGAGUGUUUAGAUUACUAUUUUAGUUAUCUAAACACUCUUAUAUUAGUUUACAGAGGGAGUACAAUUUUUAUUGUUCUUCUCAUUAUAUGUACCUAAUAAUGAUUUAGUUCAUUUCUGGAUGCUUGGACUAAGUCACUGCCAACUUUCUGUAACAUACAGCCUUCGCUUCUUAAGGAAUUGGAGCACUACACUCCCAUUUGUUAAUAGUUACACAUGGUGUACGCCUGUAUGAGUACUCAAUGUUGUUGUCUGAUGUCUGUACAUUUGUUUGAGCACCACACGAUCUCAUGAAAGAUUUGUAUUGCUCAUCUUAGUCCAAACUGAUGAUGCUGUGUUUUUUUGUAUGGCCUAGAGUGUAUAUGGUUAUCAAAAGAUAACGGAACGACACAAACAGUAGCAUCAUGGCAUAAAACCAGAAAAAAAGAUAGUCUAAAACAAUGGUUCAACCAGUUCAGAAUAAUAAUGAUGUGUGCUCCACACUUGAGUACAAUUACACUUCUCAAGGUUUCUCUUUGCGUGUCAAUGGCAGUGACCAUUCUGCUGCUGCAACAAGAGAAUCUGUCUGUAUAAAACUCAAAAGCUAAGUCCUGAAAUUCCUGACAGGAAUACAAAUUUGUGCU